GUCCCUGUAGUGCAGUGGGUGGCCCGUUGGACUUCUAAUUCAAAGGUCGUGGGCUCAAAUCCCACCUGGGAUG